UACGUAGGGUGCGAGCGUUAAUCGGAAUUACUGGGCGUAAAGGGCGCGUAGGCGGCCGUGUAAGUCACUUGUGAAAUCCCGGGGCUCAACUCCGGGGCUGCAGGUGAGACUGCGUGGCUAGAGCACGGUAGAGGCGAGUGGAAUUCCCGGUGUAGCGGUGGAAUGCGUAGAUAUCGGGAAGAACACCGGUGGCGAAGGCGGCUCGCUGGGCCGUUGCUGACGCUGAGGCGCGAAAGCGUGGGGAGCAAACAGG
rnacentral:rRNA from 1 species